rnacentral:rRNA from 1 species
AACGAACGCUGGCGGCAGGCCUAACACAUGCAAGUCGAACGAAGUCUUCGGACUUAGUGGCGGACGGGUGAGUAACACGUGGGAACGUGCCCUUUGGUACGGAAUAACUCAGGGAAACUUGAGCUAAUACCGUAUGUGCCCUUCGGGGGAAAGAUUUAUCGCCAUUGGAGCGGCCCGCGUCUGAUUAGCUAGUUGGUGAGGUAAAGGCUCACCAAGGCGACGAUCAGUAGCUGGUCUGAGAGGAUGAUCAGCCACAUUGGGACUGAGACACGGCCCAAACUCCUACGGGAGGCAGCAGUGGGGAAUCUUGCGCAAUGGGCGAAAGCCUGACGCAGCCAUGCCGCGUGAAUGAUGAAGGUCUUAGGAUUGUAAAAUUCUUUCACCGGGGACGAUAAUGACGGUACCCGGACAAGAAGCCCCGGCUAACUUCGUGCCAGCAGCCGCCGUAACAC